UACGGAGGAUCCAAGCGUUAUCCGGAAUCAUUGGGUUUAAAGGGUCCGUAGGCGGUUUUGUAAGUCAGUGGUGAAAGCCCAUCGCUCAACGGUGGAACGGCCAUUGAUACUGCAAGACUUGAAUUAUUAGGAAGUAACUAGAAUAUGUAGUGUAGCGGUGAAAUGCUUAGAGAUUACAUGGAAUACCAAUUGCGAAGGCAGGUUA
rnacentral:rRNA from 1 species